rnacentral:rRNA from 1 species
GUCUACGGCCAUACCACCCUGAACGCGCCGGAUCUCGUCUGAUCUCGGAAGCUAAGCAGGGUCGGGCCUGGUUAGUACUUGGAAGGGAGAACACGGUGGUCUAGAAG